rnacentral:rRNA from 1 species
AUUGAACGCUGGCGGCAGGCCUAACACAUGCAAGUCGAACGGUAACAGGAAGAAGCUUGCUUCUUUGCUGACGAGUGGCGGACGGGUGAGUAAUGUCUGGGAAACUGCCUGAUGGAGGGGGAUAACUACUGGAAACGGUAGCUAAUACCGCAUAACGUCGCAAGACCAAAAAGGGGGACCUUCGGGCCUCUUGCCAUCGGAUGUGCCCAGAUGGGAUUAGCUAGUAGGUGGGGUAACGGCUCACCUAGGCGACGAUCCCUAGCUGGUCUGAGAGGAGGACCAGCCACACUGGAACUGAGACACGGGCCAGACUCCUAGGGGAGGCAGCAGUGGGGAAUAUUGCACGAUGGGCGCAAGCCUGAUGCAGCCAUGCCGCGUGUAUGAAGAAGGCCUUCGGGUUGUAAAGUACUUUCAGCGGGGAGGAAGGGAGUAAAGUUAAUACCUUUGCUCAUUGACGUUACCCGCAGAAGAAGCACCGGCUAACUCCG